rnacentral:lncRNA from 1 species
AGAGAGAGAGAGAAAGAUCAAGCAAUGGCGGCCAAAACGCCAACAAAUGGAGCAACGGUGGCGGGAGCAGGCUCACUGUGGUUGAAAUCAGUCCUCUCAUCUCCAUAAGCAUCGUUCUCGUCGGGUCCUCCCACGAUUGCUCCGGUUAGUACGUUAGGGUUCGGUGCAGGAUUGUGAUACCAUUGGUUGAAUCCUUCACUGCAAUUCAUACUAGUUCUGUUCUCGUUGAUCGACACUAUAGAGGCUCCUCUAUGGUGUGGUCUCUUAGGAUAAUUGGUCCCGAAUCCAACCAUGUAGCUCAUGUUCUUCGGGUUUGACCCAAGUAUGUAGUCUACCUACACAUAUAGAUAACACUUGUAAAUUUUUAAGCAUGCAUAAAUAAAAAGAAUAUAAUCUUAGCUAGUAUACAAAAAGCUUUAUGGUUAUUUCAUGUAUAUAUGCUGGUUAUAUCUGAGAUAGAAGUUGAUGAACAAUCAAUCAUAAUAAUGAUUAUCUAAGCAAAGUUUAUAUCUUUUAUUUUUGAAAGGAAAAUUAAUGUUUUGUGGUUGGAACCAUAUGUUAAUUAGGUCUUAGCUACCUGGGCACGAGUGAGGUUGAGAAGAUCAGAAGCUUGAAGAUCUCCCUCGGGACAUUUGAUGGAGGCGUUGACGGCUUCAAGAUAUUUAGAAUAGACAUAAAGGACAAAGGAAGUGGCGGUGGUGUAUUGGAGGUUGUU